rnacentral:rRNA from 1 species
UACGUAGGGUGCGAGCGUUAAUCGGAAUUACUGGGCGUAAAGGGCGCGCAGGCGGCCCUUGAAGUCAGGCGUGAAAUCCCCGGGCUCAACCUGGGAACUGCAUUUGUGACUGCAUAGCUAGAGUACGGUAGAGGGGGAUGGAAUUCCGCGUGUAGCAGUGAAAUGCGUAGAUAUGCGGAGGAACACCGAUGGCGAAGGCAAUCCCCUGGACCUGUACUGACGCUCAUGCACGAAAGCGUGGGGAGCAAACAGG